UCGAUUUACUGUAAAAAAAUGGUUAGGUUCGCUCAAGUAGGGAGCUCCCUAGACACAACACGACACAACACGAAAAUUCAACUCUACUAGUACUAGCUUGUUUGGUUACCGAGAAAAUCAAGUAUUCCCAGGAAAUAAAAGUCUCUUUAGUGAGCUCCCUAAGAAGUAAAUGAUGGGGGGGUUUUGAAGAAUUUGAACCCAUUUUUGAUGAACCCAGAAUAGAAUGGUCAAAGAAUUCUAAUCCGAGUUCGGGUUUGAUGGGCCAGUUCUUGAUGCGUAUAUUUGCUCCUGACUACAACCACCUCAAAAUUCAAGUAACUGAUUACCAUUCCAAUACUUUUGAGGAUGCUAAAUCGGUUAUGCAGCUUGAUGACUUGAGGGAUUGCAUUGGAAUUGGAGGGUCUUGGACUGAGCUUGUCGAGUAACUUGCUGCUUCUUUUAAAUCUGUCGAUGUAAAGCUUGUUCUUGAGAAACUUUCGGAUUCGGAUGGUGAUUCAUGUUGUUGAACUUUAAUGCAUUUUAAUUCUAAUUUCUAAAUACUAAAUGACGAUAUAUGGUGAAGUGAAGUGAUUUUUCAGCCAAGCAUUUCUUACAUGCUGCAGGGCAUCUUCUUCUUCUUCUUUGUGUGGUUUGCUUACUCCCUUAAGACUGCCCUCCCCUGCUUUACAACAGACAAACUAGAAGGACGAGAUCCUCCCUCAACGAAAGUUACUAAUCGUGUCGUGUCAGCAUUUCACAGGGCAAAAGUGAGGGGUGCCUUACUCCAGGAUACAGAAGAUGACGAAAAUAACUAGAAGUCAAUUUGACAGUUUGUUUCAAUAUGUUUUGGAAUUAAAGAUUUCAGAUUAGAAUUAUGAUUUAUAUAUAAUAUACCAAGCAAAAAAGUCAGUUUAAGUACAAGGAGUAAUGUCUUAGGGUUACUGAACAGGCAACAAAUGGAUGUCAGUUUUGUAUUUCUCAUUAGAAAGUGUAAUGCCUCCAUCAGAUUUGUAACUUUCUAUUUGGGAGGUGUGUGUGUGUAUUCUUUUAACCUCUUGUUUAUACAAAUGCUGCUAUGGGUUGAUGUGACCUUACGCAUCGUCAA